GGGAGGCGAACGGGCGGGAGGGACGCUCAGGCUUUUGUGGCGCAGCCGCUUCUCGCAUCUCCGGCCCCAGCCGGCCGCCCGCGGCCCUGCAGCGUCUCCAGGCCGGGCUGCGCGCCUCGGCGCACGCCCCCUCCCACUCGCACAUAUUCUCGGCCACCUCCAGGCACCCUGAUCCAGCUGCCUCCCCCACUUCGGCCAAGAUACCUUCUACACCCCCCUCGGGCCCGUCCAGCCGCUGCCCCGCCCCGAUCGGCCCUCACCGUUUAGGCAAGAGACCGCUCGCAGUCGGGCCGGGCCGAUUCUACUUGGGGAACUCACGGCGCGUGCACCUCUGGCCACCUCUGAAGAGGCGCCCCAGGUGACUGCACACCGGACUGCAGUGUCCAGCCCAGAGCCGCUGGGAGCUGGAGGGGAGGAUGUGGGAACCUGCAGUCCCAGUCCUCCCUGGGGUGGCGUGUGCGGCUCUCACUCCCACCUCCGCGGUCGGCACUGCCUCAAGGCCGAGGCGUCUGUAUGGCUUCGCUGCUGGCCGUCUGCCCUGCGCUCCUGCGCCACCACCACCGCCUGGGUUUGGAAAUGCCCGGAGGGCACAGAGUUGAUGCCUUCUUCGGAAUUUGGGGGAGUCGAUACUGGAUGAACCGCCUCUGGCAUAAGCGGAACCUCACUGCCAUCUUAGGAAGGGACACAUGGGAGCCAGCUGGUGGCACAGCGCAGUUGGCGACAAGGUAGCCCUGGUGGCCUGCGGCUUUACUCGGGAGGUGCCUGGAGGGCCCGAAGGCUAGGCGGUCAGCGAUGGCCUUGGGGAAUUCAGCACCCGAAGUACCCCCAUCCCUAUUUCCCUGUCACGAUCUUUCACCCCUCCCUCACCCGGACUGGCAGAAGAGGGCGUCUGCCGACCAGGCCUGAGGGGUUAGGGGUUACCAAUGGGGGGCACUAGGGAGUUUCAAGAGGGGCCGGCUGUGCUGCCGCCUGAGAGCCCACCAACAGGUGUCUCCUCCUUUGGAGCCACUUGGGUGGAGGGAAGGAGUACGGUGGCUGAGUCCUGGGCCUGAGUGCAGGCCUGCCGCUGCAGCUGCCCACAGGGAGAGCUCUGGGGCUGGCGGUCGGCCUCUGCUGUCUCCUACUGCUCUGCCGGUCUGGGACCUCUGUGUGGGGCCAGGCUACAGCUCUGAUGCUUGGGUUUCUGACUGCCAACCUGGUCCGGAAGCAUGAGGAACACUUAGACAGCAGCAUUGUCUUUCCCUGUGUUCCAGGGAACCAGCUGCAAACUGCAGCGUUGGGCUAGACAAGGACCAGGGGGCAAGCUGUCUGUCCUGGUAGGUGCAGUCUGAGUCUUCACCUGUCUCCUCAAUGGUCCCAGAGAUAUGUCCCCCACCGGUCUUCCUUUCCACCCACCUUUCCCCACUUUGUCCCUCCCCUACAAACCACAUGCCCACCCCUCUCUCCACACAUUUCAACAGGCUGGUGCAGGGGCACACACUCCCCCUUCCACACACCCCAGGCUUGGCAAGGGCUCAGCAGUCGCACUUCAAUAUUGCUGUGACCUCACGUGAGGCAUCCUAAUUCAGGUCAAGGGAAAUACUUUCAAUCAAUUAUUACAGAAGGGAGGGCAGCCAGGAGGAGCAUGCUAUCAAGGAAUGUAUGACAUUUUUGGUCUUCCUGGGAGGGACUUUCUUCCUAAAUGAGAUGCCCACAUGUUGGAUAAAAAACAGCCACAGAUCAGAUUGCAACCAUUCCGGUUGGUUUCCAAUUAGAUUAUGUUUAAAAAAAUGAUUCUAAUUUUUAUCACUGGGGAUGACUUGCCUGGAGUAUCUAGGUUUCUAAAGACUGGUUUCCUGCUGUGUUUUCAUUAGCCUCAGGACUCAUCCCCCUUUUUUUGACCCCCCCCUCACCUGACCUCUGCCAGAGGCAGAAGAGAAAACAGCAAGUUACUGGGGGGGGGGGGGAAACAGCCAGUUUGGAGCAGGAGCAUAUGUGUAGAAGGAUUCGAUUUUGACAUCAAUUAAGUAUAUAACCAGACAAGUGCACGUGACUUUGGAGGGUCUCCUCUUGCCAGAGCACAUCCCGGAAGCCUGCUUACCUUCCCCUCUGGCUCGAUGCUGCUGCUCUUGACAAGGCUGCUUUCCUUCCUGUGUAUUUCCCCCCAGCAAUUAUGCUCCUCCACUGAAAUCUAAAUUUUCCAUACUGCUGCCUGUUACUAAUAAAAACUGUCUACCUUGCACUAUUAAACAGUCGAAUCAUA